rnacentral:rRNA from 1 species
UACGUAGGGGGCAAGCGUUGUCCGGAAUCAUUGGGCGAAAAGAGCGUGUAGGCGGCCCGGUAAGUCCGCUGUGAAAGUCCAGGGCUCAACCCUGGGAUGCCGGUGGAUACUGUCGGGCUCGAGUCCGGAAGAGGAGUGUGGAAUUCCUGGUGUAGCGGUGAAAUGCGCAGAUAUCAGGAGGAACACCAAUGGCGAAGGCAGCACUCUGGGACGUGACUGACGCUGAGACGCGAAAGCGUGGGGAGCAAACAGG